AUGUUAAUUAUGAAUGAACCCUUUUCUUUUAAUAUUAAUGUCAUAAUUGUAUUUGUGGACCUGUGUAGGAGAAAAAGACCCUAUGUUCCUCCCAUUACCCUUUGGAUUGCUGCUGAGAAGUGUUAACUACUCAUAAUCUCAGCUCUUGGACAAUUAAUAGCAUUAAUAACAAUUAUCAAGGGCACUGAUCAUUAGAUAAGACUCCUGCUUCCUCGUUGCUUACAUCGGGGGUACUGACCCACUAAGGCCCCUUGUACUGUUAAUGUGAAUAUUUGCAAUUAUAUAUGUCUCCUUCUGGUAGAGUGGGAUAUUAUGCCCUAGUAUCCCCUUUGCAUUACUGCAGGGGCUGCUGACUACUCAAAACUUCUCCUGGGACUGUUAAUAGGCACAAUGGCAGUUAUCAAUGGUUUUCUCCCUCCCUGACCUUGUUAAGCAAGCGCCCCACCCCACCCUUAGUUUCCCAUGGCAUAAUAAAGUAUAAGCAUUGGAGUAUUCCAUGCACUUGUCUAUCAAACAGUGGUCCAUACUCCCAACCCUUUUGCAUUGCGCCAGUGUGUAAAAUCACAGGUAGCCAUGGUGUCAUGCUUUAUAUACGAAGUCUUCCCUCUCUCUGCCCCUUGUGUGCCCUUGGCCCCUUUUUACAGACUAUUGCUCACAAUCUCAGGUGUCCAUAUUUGCAGCUAUUAGGUAAGAUUGUGCUGUCUCCCUCUUCCCUUCCCUCUGCCCUGCCCCUUUUGCCUCUUUGCUGGGUAAUGUUGACCAGACAAGGCCCUUUCUCUUGGACUUAAACAAUUCUCAGUUGCACUUUCCUUGGUCCCACCCAUUAUACAUGAACCCCUCUACUUCCUUUCGCAUUGCUUCUGAGUAUGCUGACUACCCAAAGCCCCUUCUGUGUUAUUAAUAAACACAGUACUGAUUGUCCCAUUUUUCAGCCCAUCAGUCCAAGAUCUCCCUACCACUUUGGUGUGUUGGUGCAGUGUUGACUAUGAAAAGCAGGCCUGAACUAGGUGGAUAAGCCUUCACUCAUUUUCUUUCAUUUAUUAAUGAUCCUAGUUUCAAUUAUUGUCAGAUUCUGGGGACAAGAACCAUUCUUGCCCACCUGUGUUACUGCUUUACUGUGCAAAAUACUGAAGGCAAGUCAGACCCAGGGAGCUGGAUUGCCAUCCUUUAUUUUGUGUUUCCAGUGUACACUAUAAAAUUGUCUCCCCAGGAAGGAAGGUUGGCACUUUCUCUGCAUUCUUCUUUCCAGAGCAGAUUGCCUGGUUAAGAAUCUCUUGUUGUCCCCUUUGUAUAUUGUUAUUGUAAAGUGCCAAAUGCCAGGAUACAGCCAGAAAAAUUGCUUAUUAUUAUUAAAAAAAUUUUUUUAAGAAAGACAUCUGGAUUGUAGGGUGGACUCGAUAACCUGGUCAUUAUUUUUUUGAAGCCAAAAUAUCCAUUUAUACUAUGUACCUGGUGACCAGUGUCUCUCAUUUUAACUGAGGGUGGUGGGUCUGUGGAUAGAACACUGACUCUUGCUAUUUUAAUAUCAAAGAUAUUCUAGAGUGGAACUCUUAAGACCAGUAUCUUUGUGUGGGCUUUACCAGCAUUCACUUUUAGAAAAACUACCUAAAUUUUAUAAUCCUUUAAUUUCUUCAUCUGGAGCACCUGCCCCUACUUAUUUCAAGAAGAUUGCAGUAAAACGAUUAAAUGAGGGAACAUAUGCAGAGGUGCUUUUAAAAAGCAUAUGCCACCUUUUUUAUUAAUUAUUAUAUAAAAUGAAGCAUUUAAUUAUAGUAAUAAUUUGAAGUAGUUUGAAGUACCACACUGAGGUGAGGACUUAAAAAUGAUAAGACGAGUUCCCUAUUUUAUAAGAAAAAUAAGCCAAAAUUAAAUAUUCUUUUGGAUAUAAAUUUCAACAGUGAGAUAGCUGCCUAGUGGAAAUGAAUAAUAUCCCAGCCACUAGUGUACAGGGUGUUUUGUGGCACAGGAUUAUGUAAUAUGGAACUGCUCAAGCAAAUAACUAGUCAUCACAACAGCAGUUCUUUGUAAUAACUGAAAAAGAAUAUUGUUUCUCGGAGAAGGAUGUCAAAAGAUCGGCCCAGCUCAGGGAGCAGUUUGCCCUACUAGCUCCUCGGACAGCUGUAAAGAAGAGUCUCUGGCUCUUUAGAAUACUGAUCCCAUUGAAGAUACCACGCUGCAUGUGUCCUUAGUAGUCAUGUCUCCUUAGGCUCCUCUUGGACAUUCUGAGCAUGUGAGACCUGAGGACUGCAAACAGCUAUAAGAGGCUCCAAAUUAAUCAUAUCUUUCCCUUUGAGAAUCUGGCCAAGCUCCAGCUAAUCUACUUGGAUGGGUUGCCAGCUAUCUGGAGAAAAAGAUCUUCCUCAGAAGAAUAGGCUUGUUGUUUUACAGUGUUAGUGAUCCAUUCCCUUUGACGAUCCCUAGGUGGAGAUGGGGCAUGAGGAUCCUCCAGGGGAAAAGCUCACUACCACUGGGCAACAACCCUAGGUCAGGAGGUUCUGUCAAGAUACUUUCCUGGUCCCAGAUAGGAAGAUAAAGUCUCAAAAACAACCACCACACGUCAAGCUCUUCAUUGUUCCUAUCUGCCAAAUCAUUAUACUUCCUACAAGCAGUGCAGAGAGCUGAGUCUUCAGCAGGUCCAAGAAAUUUGAACACACUGAAGGAAGUCAGCCUUCCCACCUGAAGAUCAACAUGCCUGGCACUCUAGCACUUGAGGAUAGCUGAAUGAAUGUGUAUUUCUUUGUCUCUUUCUUUCUUGUCUUUGCUCUUUGUUCUCUAUCUAAAGUGUGUCUUACCCAUUUCCAUGUUUCUCUUGCUAAUUUCUUUCGUGUGUGCCUUUGCCUCAUUUUCUCUUUUUGUUCACAAGAGUGGUCUGUGUCUUGUCUUAGACAUAUCUCUCAUUUUUCAUUUUGUUGCUAUUUCUCUUUGCUCUCCUAGAUGUGGCUCUUCUUUCACGCUUUAUUUCAUGUCUCCUUUUUGGGUCACAUGCUGUGUGCUUUUUGUCCUUUUCUUGUUCUGUCUACCUCUCCUUUCUCUGCCUACCUCUCUUUUCUCUUUGUGAACUGUGAUUAUUUGUUACCCCUUCCCCUUCUCGUUCGUUUUAAAUUUCACCUUUUUUCUGAGUCUGGCCUCCUUUCUGCUGUUUCUACUUUUUAUCUCACAUUUCUCAUUUCUGCAUUUCCUUUCUGCCUCUCUUGGGCUAUUCUCUCUCUCCUCCCCUGCGUGCCUCAGCAUCUCUUGCUGUUUGUGAUUUUCUAUUUCAGUAUUAAUCUCUGUUGGCUUGUAUUUGUUCUCUGCUUCUUCCCUUUCUACUCACCUUUGAGUAUUUCAGCCUCUUCAUGAAUCUAUCUCCCUCUCUUUGAUUUCAUGUAAUCUCUCCUUAAAUAUUUCUUUGCAUAUGUGGGCAAGUGUACGUGUGUGUGUGUCAUGUGUGGCAGAGGGGCUUCCUAACCCCUGCCUGAUAGGUGCAGAACGUCGGCUAUCAGAGCAAGCAUUGUGGAGCGGUUCCUUAUGCCAGGCUGCCAUGUGAGAUGAUCCAAGACCAAAACAAGGCCCUAGACUGCAGUAAAACCCAGAACUCAAGUAGGGCAGAAGGUGGAAGGCUCAUAUGGAUAGAAGGCCCAAAGUAUAAGACAGAUGGUUUGAGACUUGAGACCCGAGGACUAAGAUGGAAAGCCCAUGUUCCAAGAUAGAUAGAAGCCUCAGGCCUGAAACCAACAAAAGCCUCAAGAGCCAAGAAAACAGAGGGUGGCCUGAAUUGGACCGAAGGCCUGAGUUGGAUGGAAGUCUCAAGGCUUGAGUUAGAAGUCUUAAGACCUGGGACAGGACACAUGGAAGGCCUAAGAACUGAGACUUGUGACACAAGGCCAACGACCUAAGAUUAGCCCAGGGUUGUAGCUGGAAGACCUACAACCCAAGGAUGGAAGGCCCCUGUCACAAAGCCUACCUAGAUGGAUAGAGGACCCAAGCGAAAAAGGUAUCUCAAGACUAACGGCCGGAAUCUGGAGGCCCAUGACCCAGAACCCAGGAAGGAUAGAAGCUUGAAGACCUGGGGAAAUCCCAAGAUGAGAACCCUAAACCCUACCUCUUUUCUAUUGUUUACACUUCUUACUCUUAGAUAUUUCCAGUUCUCCUGUUUAUCUUUAAGCCUGAUUCUUUUGAGAUGUACUUUUUGAUGUUGCCGGUUACCUUUAGAUUGACAGUAUUAUGCCUGGGCCAGUCUUGAGCCAGCUUUAAAUCACAGCUUUUACCUAUUUGUUAGGCUAUAGUGUUUUGUAAACUUCUGUUUCUAUUCACAUCUUCUCCACUUGAGAGAGACACCAAAAUCCAGUCAGUAUCUAAUCUGGCUUUUGUUAACUUCCCUCAGGAGCAGACAUUCAUAUAGGUGAUACUGUAUUUCAGUCCUUUCUUUUGACCCCAGAAGCCCUAGACUGAGAAGAUAAAAUGGUCAGGUUGUUGGGGAAAAAAAAGUGCCAGGCUCUCUAGAGAAAAAUGUGAAGAGAUGCUCCAGGCCAAUGAGAAGAAUUAGACAAGAAAUACACAGAUGUGCCAGACUUCUGAGAAGCACCUGCCAGCAACAGCUUCCUUCUUUGAGCUUAGUUUCUGGCAUCACUACCACUACUGAUUAAACAAGAAUAAGAGAACAUUUUAUCAUCAUCUGCUUUAUUCACAUAAAUGAAGUUGUGAUGAAUAAAUCUGCUUUUAUGCAGACACAAGGAAUUAAGUGGCUUCGUCAUUGUCCUUCUACCUCAAAGAUAAUUUAUUCCAAAAGCUAAGAUAAAUGGAAGACUCUUGAACUUGUGAACUGAUGUGAAAUGCAGAAUCUCUUUUGAGUCUUUGCUGUUUGGAAGAUUGAAAAAUAUUGUUCAGCAUGGGUGACCACCAGAAAGUAAUCUUAAGCCAUCUAGAUGUCACAAUUGAAACAAACUGGGGAGUUGGUUGCUAUUGUAAAAUAAAAUAUACUGUUUUGAAAACUUUGUA
rnacentral:lncRNA from 1 species